rnacentral:rRNA from 1 species
AACGAACGCUGGCGGCAUGCCUAACACAUGCAAGUCGAACGAGACCUUCGGGUCUAGUGGCGCACGGGUGCGUAACGCGUGGGAAUCUGCCCUUUGCUUCGGAAUAACAGUUAGAAAUGACUGCUAAUACCGGAUGAUGUCUUCGGACCAAAGAUUUAUCGGCAAAGGAUGAGCCCGCGUAGGAUUGGGUAGUUGGUGGGGUAAAGCCUACCAAGCCGACGAUCCUUAGCUGGUCUGAGAGGGAUGAUCAGCCACACUGGGGACUGAGACACGGCCCAGACUCCUACGGGAGGCAGCAGUGGGGAAUAUUGGACAAUGGGCGCAAGCCUGAUCCAGCAAUGCCCGCGUGGAGUGAUGAAGGCCUUCGGGUCGUAAAGCUCUUUUACCAGGGAUGAUAAUCGACAGUACCUGGAGAUAAG